rfam:Ruminococcus sp. CAG:624 genomic scaffold, scf276
UAAACAGGUAGAGGUGCGGCUGAGAUCAGUAACAAAAAGCAGGAUGACCAUUCCGUUUAUGUUUUGUGAAAGGCGAUGCUGCCGAAGGACAGUUUCCGGUAAAUUCUGUUCUGGUCAAUGGCUUAACAGGCUCUUGACUGUCAUCAUGCAUUUGAUGGAGAGCUAUCGACACG